AAACAAAAUGCUUAUCUUAAGAAACCUUUCCUGUGCAAUUCAGUGUUCAAGUACCAAAACACCCAAUUUGCUGGAGCGUAUGAAUUGUCCUGGGGAGUUUAUUUUUUGAAAUUCAAUUUGAAAGUGAUUUUUAGGUAUCUGGGUUGCUUAAGAUGUCUCUUUUUCCCACCCAGUGACCCUGACCUAUAUAUAUGAAGGUGGAGACAGAGAGAUAUUCAUUCAGUCACCAAGGAAUACCGAUUACAUACUAUGUGUCACAUACACACUCCUAUUCUGGGGUACAGAACAGCAACUUAAUUAAAGGUUGGAAGAGUUUCAAAAGUUAGGCUAUAGUGCAAAUAUAAAAUAUUGCAUUUUCUUGUUUUUACAUUAAGAGCAAUGGACAUUCUGUGGCAUUAGAAAUCAACUAGACUGCAUUAGCAGUGAUAAGUGAUGCUGAUAACAUGUUACAAUGUGAUGAAAAGGGCACUUCACCUCCUUGGUAUCUUUCCCCAAACCCAUCACCCCAAUCUAAUCGUGAAAAAACAAGAGAUAAACCUAAUGUCUUAGUCCAUUUGGGCGGCUCUAACAAGAUACCACAGACUGGGUGGCUUAUAAACAACAGACAUUUAUUCUUCACAGGUCUGUGGGCUAGAAGUCCCAGAUCAGGCUCCCACCAUGGCCGGGUGUGACCACUCUCUUCUGAGCUGGAGACUUCUUGUAUCCUUACCUGGUAGAAGGGGCUGGGGAACUCUGUGGGGGCCUCUUCAAUAAGGGCACUAAUUCCAAUCAUGAGAAUUAUACCAUCACAUUGGAGAUUAGGAUAUGCAUGCUAGGAAGACAAAAACAUUCAGACUGUGGCAGCUAAAAUGAGUGACAUUCUGUAAAACAUCUGAUCAGUACUCCUCAAAACAGGGAAUAUUUUGGGGGGGGGGAAGUGAAGACAAAGAAACUCACAGCCCAGGGGAGCCUAAAGAGACCUGAUGACUAAAUACAAUGUAGUGCUUUGGAUGGGAUCCUGGAACAGAAAGAAGGCACUUGUGAAAAAACUAGAGCAAUCCAAAUAAAGCCUGUAGUUUGUAAUGUACUGAUGUUGCUUUCUUACUUUGACAGAAGUGCCAUGGUAAGGUAAGACAUCGACAUUAGAGGAAACCAGGUAAAGGGUAUAGAGGAUCACUCUGUACUUACUUUGAAACUUGUUAAUCUAAAAUUAUUCCCUCAGUUACUAAAAAAAAAACACAACAUGGACUUCCCUGGUGGUCCAGUGGUUCAAAAUCUGCCUGCCAAUGCAAGGGACAUAGGUUCGAUCCCUUGUCCAGAAAGAUUCCACAUGCUGAGGGGCAAGUAGGCCCGUGUGCCACAAUUACCCUUGAGAUGAAACAACAGAAGCCACCGAAAUGAAGAGUCCCCACUCCAAGAUUAGAUAGUAGCCCCCACUCGCUGAAACUAGAGAAAGCCUGCCACAGCAAUGAAGACCCAGCACAGCCAAAAAUACAAUGAAUAAAUUAGAAAACAAACAAACAAAACCCAAACAAGAACAAUAAAACAGAGCACAUUCAUUUUACACCGUGACCAGAGAAGGAAAAAUAAGAUGGAGAAAAUACCCAUCCAAGGACAGAAACCAGGGGCGGGGACAUGUGAAGAGCAACAGACAAAGAAAUAGACAGGUGGGCUCCAGGAGUGUGUUAAGAGCUCCAUUUUCUUAUGCGGCUCCCCGCUAUUCUCUUAAGCUAUAGGGAACAGAGAAAAGGAUAAUCUUUUAAAGAACUGAGAGAUUUGAUGCAGUUUUGAAACAUGUUAGCAUAAGGAGAAAUUUCUCUGCCUUUAUUUCAAAUAUUAGGGUCUUUUUUUCUAUGUGAUUCUCAAGAUUCUGCAGUGUUGUCAAGAUAACUUUGGUUUACCGAGUUUUUCAG
ensembl:lncRNA